UACGAAGGGGGCUAGCGUUGUUCGGAAUUACUGGGCGUAAAGCGUGCGCAGGCGGCUUCUCAAGUCAGGGGUGAAAGCCCAGAGCUCAACUCUGGAAUUGCCUUUGAGACUGAGUGGCUUGAGUACGAGAGAGGUGAGUGGAAUUCCCGAGUGUAGAGGUGAAAUUCGUAGAUAUUGGGAAGAACACCGGUGGCGAAGGCGGCUCACUGGCUCGUAACUGACGCUCAUGCACGACAGCGUGGGGAUCAAACAGG
rnacentral:rRNA from 1 species